UACAGAGGGCUCAAGCGUUGUUCGGAUUCAUUGGGCGUAAAGGGUGCGUAGGGGGCGUGGUAAGUCUGGGGUGAAAUCCCGGGGCUCAACCCCGGAACUGCACUGGAUACUGCCAUGCUUGAGUACUGGAGAGGAGAUUGGAAUUUACGGUGUAGCAGUGAAAUGCGUAGAUAUCGGAAGGAAGACCAGUGGCGAAGGCGAAUCUCUGGACAGUUACUGACACUGAGGCACGAAGGCCAGGGGAGCAAACGGG
rnacentral:rRNA from 1 species